rnacentral:misc_RNA from 1 species
CCGAGUUUACAACUCCCAAACCCCUGUGAACAUACCUACUUGUUGCCUCGGCGGAUCAGCCCGCUCCCCGGUAAAAAGGGACGGCCCGCCCGAGGACCCCUAAACAUCUGUUUUCUAUAGUGUAACUUCUGAGUAAAACACAUAAAUAAAUCA